rnacentral:tRNA from 2 species
GUCUGGAUGGUGCAGUGGUAUCAUACUGAAGGGGUACUUCAGAGACGGGUGGUUCGAUUCCCCCUCCAGACA